rnacentral:rRNA from 1 species
GAUGAACGCUGACAGAAUGCUUAACACAUGCAAGUCUACUUGAAACACUUUCGGGUGUGGAUGGUGGCGGACGGGUGAGUAACGCGUAAAGAACUUGCCCCUUAGCCUGGGACAACUGUUGGAAACGACAGCUAAUACCGGAUAUUAUGAGACUCUGGCAUCAGAGACUUAUGAAAGCUAUAUGCGCUAAGGGAGAGCUUUGCGUCCUAUUAGCUAGUUGGUGAGGUAACGGCUCACCAAGGCGACGAUCCAUAGCUGGUCUGAGAGGAUGAUCAGCCACACUGGGACUGAGACACGGCCCAGACUCCUACGGGAGGCAGCAGUGGGGAAUAUUGGACAAUGGGCGAAAGCCUGAUCCAGCCAUGCCGCGUGAGUGAUGAAGGCCUUAGGGUUGUAAAGCUCUUUCAGUGGGGAAGAUAAUGACGGUACCCACAGAAGAAGCCCCGGCUAACUUCGUGCCAGCCGCCGCCGUAAGAC